GAACUCAUUGUGAGUACAGGGACUUCACCCGAAAGAAUUUAAGAGACGUUCCACUUCCGGAACGAAGCACUUUGACUAUGGCGCCCUCCGAAGUGGACGGGCCAGCCUCAGGGGCUGGGAGAAAUGAAUUUCGUAACCAGAAGUCGAAGCCGAGGACCGAGAUGAAUCAGAACUCCUCACUGUACCUGAUGGUUGGAAGGGACCAGCUUUUUCCAAAGAGGACAAUCCCAGAGGACUGUUGGAGGAGAGCAGUUUUGCAACUUUGUUCCCAAAAUAGAGAGGCUUACUUGAAAUGCUGGCCAUUGGUACAGAAAGCCAUGAAUGACCAUCAUGUUUAUGCAACCCUGGACCUGAUCAAGGCCGGCAUGACUGCAUAGCAUGGUCUGUAUAUCAUCAUUAGGGCCAGAGACCUAAUAAAACUUACUAGCAAGGAGCGUUUCAUUUGAACAGACCUAAUGAUUAAACGACAGUUGGCAGAAGAUUCUGAAUCAAGAUCACAAAGUUGGGAAAGAUAUUUGCCACAGUUCAAGCACAAAAUAUGAACAAAUGCAAGGAACCAAACGAAAAAAAAACUUUUAAGAAAAAGUAUACAUCAUUCCCACCACCACAGCCAGAAAGUCAGGUUAGUAUUAAAUGUUGAAUUUUGUUACAUAAGGGGAAACUGUUAAAAUCAAUUAUGUCAAAAACUUUACUGAGGAUAUAUUAGAUGGAAUUGCUCUGUGUGUGUGUAUGUAGAGAUACAAAAAACUGAAGGUAAGUGUAAACAGGCUUAUUUUGAGCCAAGUGCAGAGGAGUGGGGGCUUCGCGUUGUGAGUGUAAUCGCUAUCACUGUGUGGUUGGUGUCGCUCAUGUCCCUUAGCCACUGUAAAUGUCCAUGGAUAAAAAAUGUCAACAAUAUAGCUCAAAAUACUCUCUACUCUGCUUUAGCAUCAUUCCUGUGACUGUGAGCUAUAUGACUAUCCUUUUUCUAAGUUAGAAUACCCCUCAUUUUGUCAAUUAUCUUCUGGUUUCUUUCCAGACUUUACUUUUCUGUCUUGCCCAUCAUUCACUUUCA